rnacentral:rRNA from 1 species
UGGGGAAUUUUGGACAAUGGGGGAAACCCUGAUCCAGCCAUCCCGCGUGUGCGAUGAAGGCCUUCGGGUUGUAAAGCACUUUUGGCAGGAAAGAAACGUCGCGGGUUAAUACCCCGCGAAACUGACGGUACCUGCAGAAUAAGCACCGGCUAACUACGUGCCAGCAGCCGCGGUAAUACGUAGGGUGCAAGCGUUAAUCGGAAUUACUGGGCGUAAAGCGUGCGCAGGCGGUUCGGAAAGAAAGAUGUGAAAUCCCAGAGCUUAACUUUGGAACUGCAUUUUUAACUACCGGGCUAGAGUGUGUCAGAGGGAGGUGGAAUUCCGCGUGUAGCAGUGAAAUGCGUAGAUAUGCGGAGGAACACCGAUGGCGAAGGCAGCCUCCUGGGAUAACACUGACGCUCAUGCACGAAAGCGUGGGGAGCAAACAGGAUUAGAUACCCUGGUAGUCCACGCCCUAAACGAUGUCAACUAGCUGUUGGGGCCUUCGGGCCUUGGUAGCGCAGCUAACGCGUGAAGUUGACCGCCUGGGGAGUACGGUCGCAAGAUUAAAACUCAAGUGAAUUGACGGGGUC